CCUAGAGUUGUAGGCUUUGCCUGCUAUCUCUUACCCAUGUCUUUUGAGUACCUUACGUUUCCUCGGUGGGUUCGUCCACCGAUUGGACAAACUUAAACCCUUUGCAGUUGAAAUCAGCGUCUGAAAAAACUUAAUAGUUA
rnacentral:misc_RNA from 1 species